rnacentral:lncRNA from 1 species
CAUUUACCUUCCUUUUCCACAGAAAUGUUUUAUUUAUAAGACUAAAUUAGGUAUGUAAUUUUAUCGUUUUAUCUCUGUUUUAUACACAAACAUCCACACAAACACACAUACUUUAACUGUGUAGUAGGUUUUUUUAUACUUUUUUUAUUUUAUUUUGAUCAACUCAACUUUCGUUUCAGUUGUUUUGUGAGAUAUGUUAGGACACGUUGAAUGCCUUACUAAUUAUGCCUAUUUCAACUAUGUUUUUAUUGUGUGCUUCGAUUUUUGUGGAGUUUUGUCUUUAUUGUUUCCGCGUAAUGCGUUGUUGGGGACAUAGAAAUAUUGGGCGUCCUUAAAUACCGUCCUUCCGUCCACACGUCUGUCCGUCCGGUCUUGUUUAAUAGCGCGCUCUUACUAAUAUCUACAGUUCUUGCCAUAUUUUUUAUAAAACUUAUAACAUAGGUUUACAUCAACAAUGUAUUCGACUAUAUAGUUCGAUAAGCAGUUCUGAUCAUGUAUUUAUAAAAGAGAUAGAAUGUAUAUAAGCCAUUUAGAAUCAUUAGAUUAAUUGGAACAUCGCAUUGUCAGCGCAAUCAUCUGUACAAUUUGUGACAGAAUUUUAUAAAACUUAUACAAUAGGUUGUAUUUAUUAUUAAAAUCUAAUACGAGUGCGAAAAGCAAUGCCAAUCAAUAUUUUUUAAUAGACGUGUUACGUAAUGUAUAUACUCGACGCUGAGGUUGACAAAUUAUACUUUAAAUGCCGGUAUCGAAUCAAAGCAAACAAGUUAUUUAAAGAUUCUAAUUACCUGUGUACCAAUUGAAUCAUUGGGUUAAACUGCAUAGUAAUGAUGUCCGCUUAUAUUUUCUUCAAUAACAAACGUCUUUUAAAAAAAACUUUAUCACAGCUAAUAUCCUGUUGAAUAUUCCUUAAGGAACAAAUAUGAUACAAUAAUUCUUCCGUGAAGAAUACAAAUGAUAUACCCCGCUUAACUUUUGAAAAAAAGGAGAAAAGGGGGGGGGGCUAUAUAUUUUUUUAUUAACCUAGGAACAGUGUAUCCAAUUUCACUUUAUUUGGAAUACAUUUCCUUGGAUUGUUUUGACUAGUAUAUACUACUCUGUUUGAUACCUACUAAGAAAAAGAUUGAUUUCCUUUAUAUUAUUUUCAUGUAAAAUGUGACCGGUUUGACCCAACAACACCUUAUAUAUAUUCCUGCAAAGUUUCGAAAUAUUCCGCUUUGUAGUUUCUGAGGUACGAAUUAUGCCCCAUGGGAAAAAAAAUCAUAACGGAAAAUUGCACUACAUUUUCUUUGAAGCAUUCAACUAUUUAAGAUUAUUAUAGAAAAAUUUUUACAAGGACAAUAACCGAAAAAAAAGUUUUUUUGUAAUUGUCCUUGUACCUAAACAGAUAAGAAAAACCGUUCAACGCGGAGGACAUGUUAUGUAUGCCAUUUUCUGAAUAUUAGCCUGUAAAAAUAUAUAAUGAUAUUGAAUUUAAAUGAAACUUGAACUUUAUACUAAUAUUAAAGGCCUUCAAGAUAAAAUCAAAUUAUCACCUUUAAAGUAUGCGAGACAUUUCACCAUAUAUUAUAUAAAAUUGAGAAUGGAAAUGGGGAAUGUGUCAAAGAGACAACAACCCGACCAUAGAAAAAAAAUAACAGUAUUCAUGUAAGUACAUGCAAUCUAUUUUAGGAUUAUGGCCACCAAUUGGGGUAUUUGUGGUAUUUGUGAAAACCUUCAGAUUACCAAACCUUCAGUAGUAUGGUGUUCCGAAUGUGACGAAGGACUAUGUGGAGAUUGUAAGAAACAUCACGCAGUUUCCAAGGCAUCAAAAAACCAUGAAACCGUUUCUAUCGCCAAAUACAAAAACUUACCCACCGAAGUCCUGCAAAUCUCUCAGACCUGCAAACUUCAUAAUGAGAAAUACGAGCUGUUUUGCGAAAAACACGAUUGUCCUUGCUGUAAGAAAUGUGUGAAAUCUCACAACGAUUGUAAAGGUUUAACUGACAUAAAUGAACUCAUAAAAAACGUAAAAACUUCAAACGCAUUUAAUGAAAUCGAACAAACCCUGCAGGAAGUCGUCGAGAAUAUUAAAACGACUAAGCACAAACAGGAAUGAAAAUUUAAAAUCUAUAGAAAACAAGAAAAGAGAAAUUGAAGCAGCAAUAAAACAAACCAGGAUAAACGUUAAUCAUCACCUUGAUAAACUUCAGGAUGACUUAAUUAAAGAACUAAUGACAGUUGAACAAAGAGAAAAAAGCAAAAUAGAAAAAUUUUUAACUUCUCUAAAAAAGAAGGAAAAAGAGAUCGCUGAAGUACAAGAAAACUUUGCCAGUAUUAAAAAUCAUGCGUCAGAACUUCAAACAUUUUUAACAAUGAAAGAUAUCGAAAAAGAUAUUAUAGGCGAAGAAAAAUUUAUCAAAUCGAUUGCCACAAGUGACUCCACAAAUCAAGUCAAUAUUUCAUGUCAGAUAAACAAGUCUUUGCAACAAAUCACAGAUAGCGUGCACAAGUUUGGGGAAAUAUAUGUUUGUUCUGAUCCAUGUGAUUUUUCGAUUCAAAAACGGAAGGACAAACAAGCCCAGAUUAUGGUCACUAUUCCAACCAGAGAUAUCAACAACCUGACUCUGACAUUACAGAAACGUAUCAAUACAAAGUUGUCAGAUGUUUCUGGUUGUUUAUUGCUUCCUGGUGAUCGGAUGGUAUUCUCCUCUUUUAACGACAAUAAAGUAACAGUACUAAAGUCUGACGGAUCAAAAGAUUUUGAAAUAAAGAACAUUGGUCCAACGUUUGAUGUGGUAUUUAUUGGUGAUGAUUCUAUUGCUGUAACUUCCGGCAAUUCAAAUCAGAUUAAUAUUAUCGACUUAAAGAAGAAAUCAAAGACGAAAUCAAUAAAAGUUGAUUCAUAUAAUGGUGGAGUAGCAUACAAAGAUGGAUAUUUAAUAUAUUGUGGUGCGGAGAAAGGACUACAGAUGAUCAGUCUGAAUGACAAAACAAUUACCAAUGUUAACAAUACCGAACUUUCAGUUUUUGCGUACGUUACAACAUUCGGUGACAAAUUGUUCUACUCAAAUUCCAAUGACAGCGUAACCUGCU